GACGAACGCUGGCGGCGUGCCUAACACAUGCAAGUCGAACGAGUCCACCCUUCGGGGUGAGGCGAGUGGCGGACGGGUGAGUAACACGUGAGCAACCUGUCUCUGUGUGGGGGAUAACCCGGGGAAACCCGGGCUAAUACCGCAUGGGCGGAGACUCCGAGUGGAGACUCCGGGAAAGUUGGCCUCUUUGCAAUGCUGAUGCGCAGGGAGGGGCUCGCGGGCUAUCAGCUAGUUGGUGAGGUCACGGCUCACCAAGGCGACGACGGCUAGGGGGUCUGAGAGGACGACCCCCCACAUUGGAACUGAGACACGGUCCAGACUCCUACGGGAGGCAGCAGUGGGGAAUUUUGGGGCAAUGGCCGCAAGGCUGACCCAGCGACGCCGCGUGCGGGAGGACGCCCUCGGGGUGUAAAACCGCUGUCAGGGGGGAAGAAUGCCGGGGCAGAGAAUACCUGCCUCGGGUGACGGUACCCUCAAAGGAAGCGCCGGCUAACUCCGUGCCAGCAGCCGCGGUAAGACGGAGGGCGCGAGCGCUGUCGAUCACUGGGCGUAAAGCGCGCGCAGGCGGGACUAGCAAGUCGGAAGUGAAAUUUCGGGGCUCAACUCCGAGGCUGCUUCCGAAACUGCGGACCUGGAGACUGGUAGAGGUGGGUGGAAUUCCCGGUGUAGCGGUGGAAUGCGUAGAGAUCGGGAAGAACACCGGUGGCGAAGGCGGCCCACUGGGCCAGUUUCUGACGCUGAGGCGCGAAAAGCGUGGGGGAGCAAACAGGAUUAGAUACCCUGGUAG
rnacentral:rRNA from 1 species